CAGGAUAUAUACAUUACAAGGUUGUACAUCAUGCAUCACCCAAACCAUGGACAGCACCACUGCCCUGGUCACAAUCACCCAGGUCAUGGUCCUGGGUGUCAUCCCCCUCCACACGGACAUCCUGGCCACCACGAUCCUCAUGGCCACCACGAUCCUCAUGGCCACCACAAUCCUCCUGGUCACCAUGGACCAGGGCCACAUGGCCACCACGGGCCAGAUCUACAUGGCCAUCACGGACCAGGGCCACAUGGCCACCAUGACCAUCAUGGAAAGCAUUAGCAUAUGAAAUGAUAAAGAACUGUCUCGGUAUGCUGUGCAGGACAAUGAAUAUGACUUUGAAUCAACUUUUACCGACCCAUGCAGAAUACAGAGCGCAUUUACUGUACAUUAUAUUCAUAAAUCUCUCAGAAGU